UUCAGCCAGUUUGAAAUACCUGGAACGACCUCUAAGUAACUUCCACAUCACUCAGCACUGAAGAAAAGGGAGCAAACAUUAGUGGAGUAAGGGAGAAACGGGCUCUCAGAGGGGCUGUGCAUCAGACCACAAGGCACCUAGGCAGCCGCUGACCAUUGUUUUCCAAUCUUCUAAACUCCUAGAGAAAAAAAAGCAAAGGCAAGUGCCCAGUACUCAGCUUUUAAAAACUAAAAAUACGAGCUUCAAUGACCGUACUCAUCCCUGAUUGGCUAGAAUGUUCAACAGCCUGGGUUUUAAGCCAAUCAGAGUUCUGGUCGUUGGAAUGGACUAGACGCUAGAGCAACUGCCACUCAACUUGGCUCAAAUUGGUUGGUGUCUGGCUCUGAUCCUAUUAUCCAGUCAUGCCAGAUAAACGCUGAGAAACAGAAGUGUUUCCUCGGUGGACGAGCAACUUGAAAUCGUUUGAUUUUACUAUAAUAAAGACUACCUACGGUGACCUCCCCAGCCCAGGAAAUGUGGCCAGAGAGCCUUCAUCCAAGACAGAGACACUAAAGUUAAUGAAAGAAAACAUGUAGCCACUUAAAAUGCUGCAGCCACGAGGCUCCAUGUCUUGAAAGCUCCUCUCAUCUUGCCGCUGUGAGACCAUAACAAUUUAGCAGCAGCAGCAAGCCCUUGAGCCAAGAUGGAAGGAAGGAAGGACUCCUUGCUGGACUUUACAAAAACAACCCAAGAGACCCAUCAACUCCUGCGUCCCCAAGUGAACUGGUAAUAGGACUGUAAUAAGAGCCACAAACCUGGCCAAAUAACUAAGCAAGCCAGAUGGUAAAGGGCAUCUGUAAGGGAUGUCUCUAUCCCUGCCUCUGCUACGGCUACACAGGAUUCCAGGACACAUGAAAAAUGUAACCCCACCUUCCUCUGAAACUUCUUCACCAUCAGUCCAUUUUCAGCAUUGGAAAACCAUACAUAAACAUGGCUUCUUAGCUGAUUUUUUAAAAAUUUCAGUAUGUUUUCCUUUUGACUGGCUCACAUAAGUGGUAUAUAGUAAAUAUCCAUUUCUAAUUACCUCUCAAAGAGAUCUAUAUAAACACGUGUAACACAGAAAUCUACUUAGCAAAGAUGGAUCUUAGUGGCCGAUGAGACAACUAUGCAUUUAACCAUCAAUGACACCUUAAAUUCCUUGUAACAAGGCAGAGAUUACUUAAGUUGACACCUCUUUUACCAAGUAUCAUGUUUUUGUGUAAUGUGGUCACAUUACAGCAUCACUCACUUUGGUUUCUUAA